GAGGCCUGGGCGUCCCUGCCCACUGAUGGCCCCAGAACUGCUCCUAGAAACACUCAGGGAGGCUGAGGCCAGACCCUGACCCUGUGCUCUGCCCAGCUUCUCUUCUCCUGGAGCCUUAAGCUGAGCAGUUUGUCAAAACAAAAGCGAAUGUAGCUCGGGACACACCGCAAACACAGAGAGGGGUCAGAAGGGCCGGGGACGGCACACAGUGUCCGGAGGGGGUGACUGUGGUGCGGGUAGAGCCCCAGCAGCUUCCAGGGUGCCAGACCUGUGCUAUUCCAUGACCUGGCUCCUGUGUGGCUCUGUCACUAUUAUUCUUUAAACUGUACAUUAUACAAAUACAUUUUUUUAUAUUCUUCUGCAUGUCCAACACAUUUCACUGUUUAAAAAUCAAUGGUGCUCCUUCGCCCUGGUGAUGAUCCAGAAUUCUCAGAGAAAACAGGACAGAAUUCAUGAUGCAAUGAAACACUUGGGACCCGGGGAUCAGCCUGCAAAGGAGGCCUGGCUCCCAGGGAGGAAGUCUGGACACAGGCAGCCCCAGUGAGCCCACGCGGAGCCCAGGAGACACGAGUCUCUCCCAGGAACGGGCUCCCACGGUGACGGAGGCUGAGGCCCACGUCCGUCUGCAGUCGGCCAGCUGGAGCCCCCGGAGCCGGCGGCGCAGUUCCAGCCUGAGUCCGAGUCCGAGUCUGGAGGCAGGAGACCCACGUCCCAGCUGGAAGACCGCCCGCCAGAGGGCAGACCCCCUUCCUCCGCCUUUCUGUUCUGUUGAGGCCCCGCGACCCGGCCUCCUCCUUCCAGACUUGACAUCUGAGGCUGGGUCACGAGAAGCCUUGCCCAGUGACUGUGCACUGGGGGAGCUGGCUGCCAUGGAAUAAUCCCAUGACUCUGAGACCACCAUGCUCUGAGGAAGCCCAAGCUGGCCACACCGAAAGGCCACACGCAGUGAGACAGCCAGCCAGCCCGGGCUGUUCCCGCCACCCACCUAGAGUGCCAGACAUGGGCCGAAGAAGCCGUCCUGGACCUGAAGCCCCACUGAGCCUGCUGAAGGUUCCAGCCCCAGCUGCCACCUGAUCACGACUGCAGAGAAACCCCAAGGCUGAGGGGCCCAGCGGAGCCAGGGCCAGCCAUGGACCGGGGAAAGAGUAGUAAAUGGGUGCUUUACACCAUGACAUUUUGGGGUGCUUUGUCACACAGCAAUAGAUAACCGGGACGUGGGAGUCAAUUUCAAGGCCACAGGGCCGGCACCCCCUCGGCUGUCCUCCCGGGGCCAGGGUUCAGACAGCAUGCGCAGGGCCCAGCUGCCCCUCCUCCCCUUUGUACUGCCCCUGGGGAGGCAGUGGCCGCAUCUAGAGGGGGUCCACAAGCAAGGAAGGAGUCUCGCUGCCUGGGAUGGG
rnacentral:lncRNA from 1 species